GGUACCCUGACAGGCCCAACCAGACCGCGGAAGGAGCGAGAAAGGCAAGCCGGCCCGUACGCCUCUUCCGCUCCGGGCCCGGAAGGGUGAUGUGGCUGGGGUUUCGCCGGCCUCACUAUGGUUGUUGGGUAUAUUUUGGAAGUGUGCCAGAAUUGGUGAACGGAAGAGUCCUUAUGUUGCGGUAUGCUGUAUUGUGAUGGCCUUCAGCAUCCUCUUCAUACAGUAGCUUGGAAAAAUGCCAGAAUUCAGUUGCAAUCAGAUUUAAAUAUGAAAAAAAAAGGACUUAUCUGCAGAAAAUAAUGGAAAGAAUGGUUAACCCUUUUAUCUCUGAACAUUGAAUGAGAUAAAUUUUCAGCUGCUGUUCUCUAUUAUUUUUGUUAUUGGACCAAUGUUCUAUAUAAAUAAUUAGGAUGUAACCAUUUAAUACUCAGAGUUUAAAUAUGUCUGUAACAAUCAACCUCAGUACUGUCACUACAAUAUUACAUUCUGCAUAUGUCAUUCUGUUGUGUCAGAUACCAGUUUUUAGUGAGGUAUCUUUAAGGUACAUAGGAGAAAACAAAAUUGGUAAAUUACUUAAGUUCCUUUCACCGUGAUUUGGAAACGAUAAAUCUUUAUAGAAUGAGACUUUUUGGACUAGCUUUUUUAUUGAAGAAAAAAAAGGUUCAAUUCGUGUUGAUAAGGACUGCAUUCAUAUUUAAUAAUGCUUGCUUUUCCUCUGGCCACAUCAUUUUGAGCAUUAACCAGAGUACCUCUACUGUUAGCAAACUGUAGUUUAUUACAGGUAUUUAAACUAUUUAAAACAAGCCUAUGCAGUUCUUAAGGAGGAAGAUAAAUGAGAAGUGACUUAAGAGUGCUAUUGAGAAAAAUGUUCCUAUUUAACAUAAAAGAAUUCAGAAUACCUGACUGGUGUUAUUGUCUCUGAAACCUCUGGUUAAGUAUGGAUAAAUGUCUUAAGCAUAAAUUUGACCAGCGCUAACUGUCGUUUUUGGAAUAAGACUACAUGCUUAGAGUGUUUUAAUUACCCCAAAAUGCAAACUGUGUUUUUGUUUUUUAAUACAGCACUUUAAAUCUAGUUUAUGUUUUGUCUAUCAACUUGAACUGGAAUCUUGUGUAACUUACUACAUGAUGAUAAACAGUUUUCACAUCUACUUACCAUAUGCCAUGGCAUAAAUGUCUUUGAGCUUUGAUGGUAAAGGAGGACCUUCAGUAAUUUAACAUUGGAAAUGUGACUUAUAAAUUUUGUAGUAGAGCAGUUAUUACACAUUUAUGGUUAACAUUUCAAAAUUCAGUUAAAGUUUCAAAGCAAAGGAGAACUUCUUAACUAAAAAUUGCCCGUUAUACAUAGUAUUAAUUAGAUAUUGUUGUCAGCUGUUAAUUCCCCAUAAAGAUAAAAAGAAUAAACUUUUUUUUUUUUAAGAAAAAAAAUUGUUUAGAAUUAUUUUUAAAUGAGCCUGCCAGUAGCUGUUUCUGCAGAAACAAAGUAUGGAACUGAAAGUUACCUAUUUUUAGGACCACUUUAAAGUACUUAGAAUUCUCGGAAACAUCGAAGAAAAUCUUGUUACACAUUGCCUGCUUUUUUUUUGCAAAAGAUAAAAGCUGCUGUUUGGCUGUCAGUAUAUUUGUUUAUUGUACGUUUCUGGCUUAUCUAUAGCUGGUUUAAAAUGGUGUAUUUUGCCUUAAACAGGUUAAUCAGGCUAUGAUAAUUGUUCCUACUCUGCACUGUCUCUUGGGCUUUGCAUUAGGUCAAGGAUUUUCAGGGUAUCCCCAAAAUAGGACUCUUAUCAGCAUAUACAUGCAGAGUAAGUCACCUUUGUGGGUCUAGUUUCUUGAGUGGCCAUCUGUUGUCCAACUCUGCUGCCAACUAGACUUUCCAAAAGCUAUAUCUAUCAACUAAUUUUUUAUAUACUAACAAACACAAAUCUAAUAUGAAAAAGGGAGGACUAUUCUAGAUAAUCAGUUCUAGGACAUUUCUUUUAAGUUGGCAUUUCAGAGGAGGUAGGUGGAAAGUAGAGGAAGAAAUAAUUUUUUGGAAAAUCUGUGGCAACAUAUAAACAUUUUUUACAUUUUUUACUGUGUGUAGAUGCUGAACAGAAUGGGAAGCAGCUUAUUUCUGACCCCAGACAUUCUGACCUUUUGAAGCACAAGCUCUUUGGGAGGUGGUGAAAGACACAGGAUUCUGUGAAGAAAAGCAAUGAGCAUUUUCUUUAAUGUAUUUUUUUUUCAAAGAAUUACCACUAAAUCCUAUUCUCUAACCCAAAGGGCGGCGUAGGUAGUUUUAAGCCCACAGAAUAUUCAGAUAUUCCUUUUGUGGUCUUGGCGAGGUGGUAAGAUGCAGAAGAGGAUUAAGGAUCAAUUUAAACAUCAGAUGGACUUCCUCUGUCACAUAGUCUUGGUGCAGGGCCGGAUGGGAUGAUGGGCACUAAAGUCCACAGCUUGCUAGAUUCAAAUACCCUCCCUAAGCUCCUUCCUGGCUCCAGAAUCUUUUGAUUCCAUCUUGCCUGGAAUUUGUUUUGUGCUGAUGUUUAGUUCCUGAUUGGCCUCAGCUGUGCCAAUGGCAGGAGCAUGCCUUCUUUCCAGGCAGUCUUAAAAGAUGUUCAAUCAAAAGAAGACAUAGUCUGCUGAAUUCCCUCUGUGGCUUAAAAAAGUUUAGAUUCAAGUCCAGUAUUUUGUUAAUGCCUAUGCUGCUGUGCCAGACACUACUAUCCUGAAUGUUCUUACAUCAUCAGAUUCAAAACAGUCCUAUGCUGGGAAAAGUAGUAAUAUGUAACUUGUAAUAGACACCAUCAUCUUAGUAAAAUGCAGAUCAGUCUAGUUCUAACCUAGGACAAAAUUGAGAUUUCAGUGAAGUAACUUCUUCAAGUUCACAAUGUCAAAAAUGAACAGAUCUCUGCCUGGUUUUGUGAAAAAGACCUACCACUUGUAAAUAGAAUAUUUAUAUUUCAGCAUUUUUAAGAGGCAUUAAGAGAGUGCAUUCAAUCUAUUAUCACUGAACACAAGUACACAGUUUCUUCCCUCUAGUGGUUCAUAAUGUAGUGGGUGAGAGAGAAAUGAGGUUAUUUUAUAUGAAGUGCAAUGUGAUAGCAUUUAUUAGUGAGAUAACACCAGGAUUCUGGAAGAAAAUGAAAAGGUGACAGCUCAGUCAGGGAUAUGAACUUCCUUCCAGAGGAGCAAGGCUUAAGCUGAAUUUACGAGCAGUAUGCAAAAGCACCAGGGGUAUAUUAUGGACCAUCAGUACCUAGCUUGUUAUGCCAGCCACUUGGGGAGUACAGCUGAGCCUUGAACAACACAGGUUUGAACUGUGCAGCUCCACUUAUAUGUUGGGUUGUUUUCAGUGGUAAAUGCUACAGUACUGCACGAUCCCAAGUUGGCCGAAUCUGUGGCUACGGAACCUCGCUUAUGGAUGGCUGACUGUAGGAUAUGGCUGGAGUGUGGACUGUGCAGACGGUCAGCGCCCCCUAACCCCCACAUUGUUCAAGGGUCAACUACACUACGAUAUAAGCCUAGAAAGGUGGAGAGAGGUUAGGUCCUAGAGGGUCUUGUAUUUUUCUCAUCGCUAUCUAUUAUCUACCUCAGAAUUGAAGUUGAAUAUGUUUCCUCCUGCCUGACAAAAAAAUUCAAGAAUAAAAAUAAAAUCCUCCCUUGGUGUACGUGUAAACAAGGUUGAAUAUAUCCAUGCCAACCUUAUUUUCGGCCAAGAAUACAAUACUGUCCUCUCCAGAGGCACCUGCAUAGCAUAAAGCCAAGGUAACUUACCAGUCAGGUCAAGUAUUUCCAGGAACUCUGAGUAGUUGAUACUCUAUCAGUGCCAAAAGUAGUCAGGAUUGUUAAAGCACGCAUGUGCAUAAGAAGCGAAGGUGGUUGCAAUUUCUACAUUUCCUGGGUGCACAGAAAAGAUUUCUAAUAAACAAGGACAUGUGCUCCUUUCAAAGCCUUUGAGAAGUACUGGAUCAUAGGAAACUGAAAACAAGAAUGGAAGAUUCUUAGGGACCCCUCUUUACUUUCUUUGGUAUCCAGUAACAGUAGACGUACAAAAUAUAAGUACCUGAGUAAUAUCAGCAUUGUGAGUACUGCACAGCCCUGUUAUUCUCAAUCAGCAAGUUACUACUAGCUUCCAAAAAUAGCUUCAUGAUUAUGUAAUCUAUACAUUGCCUUCUACAGUUUCUUUUACUUUGCCCUCAACCAGUCCCAAAAUGGUAAUCUGAAAUGCCACUCCAAUAUCAGAAAAAAGAGGGUAGGUGGAAAUAUAUUUCCUGCGGUUUUGAGAGUACAAAAAAAUCAUCCUACUCUCUGGUUAGUGCAUAUGUCUGUGGUAUGUAAUAAAGAUCAAAAUGA